rnacentral:misc_RNA from 1 species
AUGAGUAUGAAACCGAAUACGAAAUCCAAACUGAUGAAAAAAGGAUCAAGAAUUUGAAGAAAUAUUUGGGAAAAACAGCAUCAGAAUGGUACCAGACAAAUCUGCUGAAGGAUGAAGAAUACAACUGGGAAAAUUGGAAGGUUCAUUCACUGAAUAUGCCAUAAAAAAGGAAUGAUUAAUAUUGGAAGUAAGGAGGAAGACUUCUGAAGAGACAGGGAUAAAUCUAAUUGUUAUUGG